rnacentral:lncRNA from 1 species
UUAAUCAUUAAGAUGAUCACAUGACAUGAUACUAAAGUACUCUCCCAUCUUUUCAGAUUUGAGAAAUUUUUAUCCUUCUACCUAAUUUGAUUAUUCUUAUUCGCUCUGCCAUACAUUGGAACCUUUUCCAACGUCUCAAAAUUACACUUAAGUUUGUAAGUAUAACCAUAUUUACUAAGCUUUAGUAAAUUAUGACGAAUAAUCUUCUUGAUCUUUUGUGGUGGACUUGACCAGUGCACAAGAAUGUGUACUAGAUCCCUUAGUCUUUCACUUGACUAACACAUACAUGUGAACAAGGAACUAGUCUUAAUUUUCCAAAGAUGAAAAAUUCUCGUUCAUCAUGCUAUACAACUUGCAUGAUUCCAAGUUUCGGUCCAAUUGAAACUUAAGUGAUGGGGAUCUUUCCUUAUUUGGUAAAUUUAGACAUUACCACAAAUGAAAGAAUCAAUUUCAUAUUUCCACACUUGCUAUUAAUGGAAUCAUAUAAGCAACAAUUUUUUCCUGAAAUGCCAUUGUAAGGAUAUUUUAAAAUAAAUAAAAUCAUCAUUUUUCCUGUUAUUUUAAAAACUUUGCGGAAAACUAUCCUUACAACGCAGAAGAGCAUGAAAACUUUGUUGUUAUCUAUUCCUAAACAAUAUAUCAUAACUCCUAAGAAGUAGCUCAAGAGUCGGAUCUUCAAACUAAGUAAUAGAAAUCCAUCUACGCGAUUAAAUUCAACAUAUUCUUUCUUUAAGUUUUUUCACUUUUUUCUUUGAUUCUUACAAACAUCAACAUGUGACCCAAUCACAUCAUAUAUCAAGAAUCUCAGUAUAGAAACUUAGCAGAGUUAGAUAGUGGAUUUUACCUGAAGGAGGGUCAAACUUAUUGACUUUAACAUCCUUAGGUAAAAUGGGCAGCUUCGCAACUAAUGCCCCUUCCUUUGGCAAUAUAAACAUAUGGACACUUUUGGUAAUGGUACCGGUUCUAUCAUAGACUUAGCAUUUCUCUUUACCAUUUGGUCAACCGAGUUGACUAUGGUCGAUCCCUUUCCAUUGGAAAGAAAAUGCUUUUUCUGGAUUUCCAGUGUCACCAUUUUCAAUGUCCAUAUAGUUUUGGGAAGUCGAUCUUCUAAUCAGAUUUGCUUUACUAGCCUUCAAAAUCAUUGUUGAUUUAGCAGCACCAAGCAAAUAGAUAAGAUCAUUAAGAGUCUUGUCCUAGUCUGUUUCAUAGGAGUCCCAAAGGAACUCACUAUUCGACUUAGAAAGUGAUUGAACCACUAACUUUCUUAAGACUUUGACACCUAACUCUCCCGGCUUGUCAGUAUGUGACUUCAUCUCCAAGAUGUGAUCACACCUUGACCUUGUCUUGCCAAUAGGGCUUGAGUGACCUUGAACUUGUGGGUUAGGGAGAAUAAAUGGAGGAUGUGGAGGAAGUGAUGUUCCAAGAGAUUUGGGAAUAUCAUAGAUGUCUGAACUUAGACAUCUUAUGGAAGAUAUUCAAGAUAGUUGAUUUAAAGUCCUUAAUAUAACACCCAAUAUGAAAUAUUAAAGCUAGGACCCAACAAACUAUUUUAUAACUUAGAAGAGGGAUGCCGUAAUCCAAGCUAUAGAAUAUUUGAAGGUAGGUGAAUGACGAUUCAUCAAUUUCCACCAUGAAAAACGAAAUAAUUUAUUAGGUUUUAUUUGGAUUUGAAACUGCUAGAUCUUUUGAGAUUCAUUGAUCUUUUCAAAGGCAUGUUUCAAUCUCGAGUAUGCCCUUUAGGUUUUGUGAGUGGGAUGCCGAGGAUCAUAAAACAAGGUGUGAAGUAACCAUGCAAAUUACUUGGUACUCUUAAAUCUUUAUCACCCAACCGAUCUGCCGGUAAACCACACACGCUCCACCGGCCUAUGAUAAACUUUAAGAAACCCUUUGCCUACCUUGUUAAAUCAAGCUAGUGUGUCGGUAAACCACACGCGCUCCACUAACCGACUUAAGAAAAGUGCAAAGUGUAAUUUCAUGGGUUUGCACCUUAUUCAUAUUUUCCUAAGUAACUAAGACUGUGAAUUUUUAACUGUUUAGUUACUUAGUAUUUUUUAUAAAUACUUUUAAUGAAGGGAGAAUUAUAGUCCUUAUCCUACCCAUUCAGCUGACGACCCUCCAGCAGUCAAGGAAGCGGUGGGUGAGAGUGGACACCCAUUAAACUACCAUUUUAUACGCAGUAACCUUAUACCCCCUUAUAGACCAGCUUCGUGAAUGAGGCAUAGUAACGGUAAGACUGACUUUACUGUUAUAUAUAUAUAUACUUAUAAUUAUAUAAAGUAUAAGGGUUGAAUUUUAACUUUUAAAAUUCUAAGGGCUAACUUGGAAUUAAAGUAUUCAUAAGUGAAAACUUUUCAAAUUCCAAAACUUGAGGGCAAGUUUUGAAACUAUUCAAAACUAAUUAAUUCCAUAACUUAUGUGUUUAAAGUAGUUUUAAUCCAAAAACUCUUCAAGUUCCAUAACUUGAGGACAAGUUAUGGAAGACUUUAAACUAAUAAAAGAAUUUAACUUUUUCUUUAUUUUUGUAAUUAUGAAAUUAAUUAGCGUUACAUAUUUUAUUACUUAAUGAAGUGACUCUUGAACCUCCAUAACUUGAGGACAUGAAUCUUCAUUUUUGUAACCAUUACAACCUUUUAUGAGUUUUAUGAAACUUAAAUGUGACAUUUCAUAUAACUUGAGGACAAGUUACAAAAACACAUUUUAGAAUCAACACUUAGAUUAAAAUGGAUAGAAAACACAUAAUCAAUUAACUUUUCUAUUAAUCUAAGCAACUCAUAAGAACAAGAUAAUUCAAAACAAACUUUUUCAUGUAAUUAGUCUAAACCUUAAACUAAUACAAAACAUGAAUCUAUUGACAAUUAUCUUUGAAAUUGGAUUAGCAUGAACAUUACCACAUCAAAAACAAGUUUAUAAGUUCAAAAACAUCUUAGGGUAAUGUUCCUAGUCCAAUUCCAGCCAAAACAAUCGAAUAUAUGUUGUCUGGGGGUCCAACUCGGCGAGUCGGAUGCAUUUUUGUCUUGGACUCAACGAGUCCAUCAGUGGACUCGGCGAGUCUGCUGAGCAGACAGCAUAAAAACUUCUUUUUUCAGCCAAUUUUGCAAGUAUAACAAGAAAACAAGCCUUGGCUCUGAUGCUACUGUUGGGUUUUGAGCAUUCUAACACUCCUAAGUGUACAUGCAACCCUAAAUACCUUGGAUCUAUGUUUUCUCUAUUAUACAUGCAAAUAAGAACUUCCAAGGUAUUAUCCUAAUCUAGCAUACAAAACAAUGAAUAUCACAAGAUAGAAUACAUACCUCUUUGAUGUAGAAUGUCUUUGUGAAGCUUGAGUGCCUAGUUCCCCAAGUGUGACACCUCAAAUGCUUCACGCAACACCAAAUACACUUGGAAUAACUUGAGAAAACAUACACACACUAGUGGUAUCGGCUAGACCUUUCUUUCUUUCCAUUGUGGCCGAUUUUUCCCAAAGAAUAUGAUCUUAUAUUGUUGUUACAAUUAGGGUAAACCCUAAUUGUCAUGACUUUCCAUUUCCUUGGAUCCAUGGGUUCAAAUACACCAUGGAGCAUCCAUGGACCAUCCUAUGGGUUUUAGCCCAACUUGAUUAUCCAUGGAGCAUUAGCCCACUAUACAAGUAUGGAUGAUUUACACAAUCAACCCAUAUAUUUAAUUAGUCUUCUUUUGAUCACUUAAUUAAUCCUAGAUUAAUUCUUGAUCAAUACUAAUUAAAUAAUCUUAUUAUUCUUAUUAUUAAUAUACUAGAACUUAUAAUAUAUUAAUAACCAUAAGUGUCUUAUUUCUCUCAUUAUAGUCUAUCCAAGUGCAUGAUGGUAUGCAACCCAAAUGGACCAUGCCGGGUCGGGUCAAGUCUUACCAAUUAUAGUUAUGGACUUAGACAUUAAUCCAACAGUCUCCCACUUGGAUAAGUCUAAAACUAUUAUUGCGUAUGACUUCAGGAACCAACUGGCAAUCGUAGCUCUCAAAAGCUUCUGUCGAACUCUGACCUUGUAGAUGAACUCUGACCUUUGUCAGUGACUUGUCCAUUAGAUAAGGGAUCAUAUAUUCCUCCAUUCUAGAUAUCAUAUGGACUGAGACAUGGAUUAUAAUCAUUCUCUCUGUCCAUUUGUUGUUUCCCGAUUUCCGAUUUAUGAUGACUGACUAAUUGAACAAAUCAAAUCAGUCCUGGCCCGGCCGAGCACUUCCAUUUGUCAUCAUCAAAUCAUCGAGGGGCCCACAGAUAUCGCUUUUAUCCUGAAGGUAAAAGGAAUGGAUAAACUUCGACUCAUAUGGCUUGUUCUACUACUUGUUAAAUCAUACACAAAGGCAUGUUUUAUAACAUCGAGUUACCAAUGCGUUUUCAUGAAAUCAAUGUAUAACCAACUCAUAAUAACAACUCAUAUCUCUAGGUUUGAAGAAUAUAAGAUAUUAUCGUCUCAUGAUCACUCGUGAUAAAAUCCAUGAACUGAUUCAAAUGAGCGUGGGUUGAAUCCAAUACUCAGAAUUUAUGAGCACUCAUGAAUGUUGUAGCACCUCUUGGCUAUGUCCACUACCUCAGAUAUCUACAAACCCGAUUCAUGACAGUCUUGAUUCAUAUCUACUUCCAACAUAUGACCGACUGUGGAUAGUUUCAAUAACUUAGUCAUUCGAGAAGAACGACCUAGUUAUUAUGGAAGUCAAAACAUGCAAAGUGAAACACAAGAAUAAUCGAAUCCAAUAUGGUCUCAUCACUUAUGAAUAUAAAUAAAACACCUUUUAUUUAUCACCAUACGAUUACACAUUAUUCGUUGUAUACUGUUUCAGCUAUCAACUUUAUACUUGAAUUAAAACACUAGUUGUCCCAUGCUCCAAGCAUGUAUACUAUGUUUUCUAAACACUAGUCAUGCCACACACCAAGUAUGCAUACUAGGUUUGUCUAUGAUCUUUACUUUGUGAAAUAUAUCAAUUGAACAUAAAUCCAAUGAUUCUCAUUCCACAGUCCCAAAUCCUUACCGUAAAUGUAAGAAUUCCAAAUUCCUACAUCUUACCAAAAACUGCUAGAUUUUAAGCUUAUAUGCAUUGAUCCUCUUGUAGUGAUUAUACACGAAGUCACAAAGACUUGUCAACAAACAUUAUAGAUUAUUCCAAUGGAGAUCAACUCCGUGGAAACAUGCAUUAAGUAUUCUAAUCUUACAUAGAUUGAAUAAUUUCCAACUUUGAAACAUUUCCCUAUUCCAUUUUGACUAUCACUUCUAAAUAAGAGUUCAGAAUAUGUCAAUAUGGUCCUUCAAAAAUUAACACUAUAGUUCCAACUGUCCUUGAGCAACCGAUCUUUGGUAAACCUUAGAUUGUCCUCAACAAUUGCUUAAUCCUUUUAGUCAUAUCCAAUUCUAGACCUUUUCCUUUUUCAAUGCCCCAAGCAUUUGGAAAUUUUUAGAAAUGAUGAAUAUAGCACAUGUAAUCGAUCCUAUAUCCGAAGCAUAUGGGACAUGAUUCAUCAUGUCUCACAUAAAGACUAAACCAAUCUUUUUCUAUAAUAUUUCCAUUUCUAUUUGCCAAGUCCUCAUAAUUCAGAUUAUGAAAAGGGAUGUCGUAAUCAUAAUCGAAUUUUAGAACGCAAAUAAUGAACCAAUAUAUAGAAUUUCGUUAUGUUGAGCCAUUCAACCACAAAAAUUCAAAUAUAUAUCCUUGGCUAAUGUCGACUAAAACCUCAGUCUAAGCUUUUAGAAUUGAAAUGAAGUAUAUCCUUGACUAAAGUCGAUUAAAACCUCAAUCUAAGCUUUUAGAAUUGAACUGAAGUAUAAUCUCCUAUCCCUUAAUUAUAGCAAAACAACUUUUCAAGCCAUGUACUUUUGUUUUUCUAUAAUUAACAUUGCUAACUUGCAAUACUUAUCAUAAUUAUCAUGCUCCCACUAACAUGAUGAUUAUUAGCAUCACACUUAUGCUCCCACUAGCUUUGACAUGUACUCAGAAAUCAGCUGGACUUCUAGAAAAACAAUACUUUAUUGAAUUUCUUAACAAAGUUCAGAUUUCUGAUACUAGGUUGCUUUGAUAAAACUUUAUCAGUAUCAUACACCUUAUCUUAGAUAGCUCAUAAGUGUGUCUAAAGAAUUUAAGGACUUUGAAAAGGGAUGCCGUAAUCAUAGUCUCAUUUGUUUAGACCUUUGCCACUUCUCACAAAUCCAGGUUAGUGUGUCGGUUAACCACACAUGCUCCACUAACGACUUUGAGAAUGCAAAUAUCACAGUUGCUAUCUAGUUAAAAUCUACUUAGUGAAAGUGUUUCCUAACCAUCAUUUUCAUGAAUCGGAGAGAAACCUUAUGACAAUUAGAUUUUAUGGUGUAUGUGUUCUUAUCCAUGUGGAUUUGUCAAAACCAUAAUCACAAGACAAGGUUAGUGACAAAUCCAAACUCUUAUGGAUUUAACCUGUACAUUCUUAACUUCGUGCCACCUGGCAGCUGAAGGGCCUGUCAUUGCUUCCUAGUUGUUAUGCAACCAAUUGAGAACUCUAAGAACUCAUAUGCAUAGCCAACUUUAACUGAAAUGAGCACCAAAAUAGAAAUAUGUCAACACGAUAGGUUAUAAACCUCAAGUCGUGUGCUAGUGAAGAACUUCAGGUUUUAUUCUUGAUUAGUUCUUGAGACUUUAAGACUCCCACUGUCCUCUUGACAUAUAAGACUUUCUUGUCAGAUAUUCAAGAGAUAGUGUGGAUUCUAAUCAAGACAAACACUUCACACAAUUGGCCUUAGUUGGUCUUUGUUUUAUCCAAAACAUCAUAGCUUACCAAUUUCAAAUGUACAAGAGUAGAAAACUUUUACUCUUACAUUUGACAAGUGUUUUAAACCUUCUUUAAGACAUGUCACUCAAAUGACAAUCUUGGAGUAUGACUCUAAGACUUGUAUUGGAACGAAGUAUGACUCAUCUUCUUGAUUUAACCAUUUCAACAAUUCAAGUUCCUCUUCUUAGUCAUAAGAAUGCACUAAGAUUUCCUUAGAGAACUAACUUUGAUAUGGUUUCUUAAUCAUUAAGAUGAUCACAGAAAUGAUACUAAAGUACUCUCCCAUCUUUUCAUAUUUGAGAAACUUUUAUCCUUCUACCUAAUUUGAUUAUUCUUAUUCGCUCUGCCAUACAUUGGAACCUUUUCCAAUGUCUCAGAGUUACACUUAAGCUUGUAAGUAUAAUCAUAUUUACUGAGCUUUAGUAAACUAUGACGAAUAGUCUUAUCAAUCUUUUGUGGUGGACUUGACCAGUGCACAAGACUGUGUACUCGAUCCCUUAGUCCAUUACUUGACUCACACAUCCAUGUGAAUAAGUAAUUAGUCUUAAUUUUCCAAAACUGGAAAGUUCUCAUUCAUCAUGCUAUACAACUUGCAUGAUUCC